GUUUGGAACGCUCGUGGGGCGAAUCCAGGGAAAGACAGAGAUGCUAAAUUUUGCAUGACGUGGUAAGGAUCACUGAUUCAAGAUGGAAACAGAGGAGCCACUGCAUGUGUAACUGAGGAAUCAUUUCCUCCUGUGCUCAGGACAGCGGUUUCUCUGUGCUUCGCAGUUGCUAAUUGCUUUCACCCCGCACGCGUGGCCCGAUGCACUCCCUGAGUUACUGAACCUGAGGACCUGCUGCAGAUGGGAGAGCUGAGGUGCAGAGGGUUUAAGGGUUGGAUGCAACUGGGUGCUCAACAUCUAAAAGGGAUGGUGAAAUAAAUUACACAGAUCUCCGUGCAAGUCUGAUCAAGCUCUGAAAGGUGAGCUCACCCAUGACUCUCCAGCAGUGCUCAGCAGCUCCUGGGAGACGUGGAACUCUCCGUGGCCACAGAUGAUGCCAAGGGUUUAGGCAUCUUCCCCUUGCUCCUUUCUCUCUUCACUUCUUCUCCAAGGAGCUGCAUUUCAGUUUAGUGCCACGUUUGGAAAUGUGGGUUCCUGUGAUCUCUCAGAUGUGCCAACGGGCUCACUGGCAUUACAGAUAUUUUCAGAUGGAGAACACUUGAUGGACAGAUGCUGGCCACUCCCUGGCAGGGACACCCAGAGCUUCUCCUCCAAGGAACUGAGCAGAGUUCAAGACUUUCAAGACCUUUCAAGACACCAAGAUGGGGAUGGGGACUGUCCUGUUUAAUAUCACAGCCCAAUGGUCAGAGCCCUUCCUUGCAGACCUGUUUUUAACUGUCUGCCUUCAGCUUGGGUUAUUUUCUCUCCUCAUACAUCACUGUCCUGUGAAAUUUUUGAUCUUGAUCAAUUGUGGAUGCCCCAUCCCUGGAAGUGUUUAAAGCCAGACUGGAUGGGGCCCUGAGCAGGAGGCAGCAGGAGGUGUCCCUGCCAUGGCAGGAGGUGGAACUGGAUGAGCAUUAAGGCCCCUUCCAACCCAAACCAUUCUACGGUUCUAUCUAUUUGGGAUUUUGGCUUUCCAAGGGAUCGAGGCUCCCAGCCAACUUCAAACUCAGAACUCCUCAUGCCCCAGAGAGGCCACAAGCCUGAGCAGAGCUGGGGACACACCAGGCAGGGAAUGUGGAGCUGCACAACCCUACGCCCUGUGCUGAGCACCUGCAAUUAGAGAGGGGGUUUAAGCAGUCCAGUGUCAGCCAGACAGUGCUUCCCCAGUGUGGGAACCCCCAUUCCCUGCCUGUGCCCACUGAGGGGCUCACCUGUGGCUGUGGUGAAGGGGUUAAAGUGGGCUGGGCCAGUCUCCAGCUGUGCACAGCGGUGUGGGGACUGGGCUGGCCAGCUGUGAGUUCAGCUAUCCCCCAGUCAGCUAGAAAAGGGCUGUGUCUCCUGCACUGCCAUUAGAAUGGGGGGAGGUAGGUUUUUGUCAUAGGGAAGGAGGUGGAAAAAAACUGUGCUUGACUGAUUCCUUGCUGAGCAGUGUCUGGGGAGGGUCUGGGCUGUGCAAAGCUGUCCUGAGAGGUGCUCUCUUGGCAGAGGGGUUAAGAUAAGCCUGACCCACUGACUUCUUCACUUAACAUCCAGGCUGGGGAGAUGCUUGUUUAGCCCAAAAUCUUGGGUGAGGCAGUCAGCUGGAGUUCAAGAUCCAGGGACUUAAUGUCCCAUGACUGAGUGUAGCUUGUUUGACCUGUAGUGCAGAUCUUGAGAGGAGAGAGCAGGAGUGUUUUUAUGGUAUGUGCUGAGCCUGCUCUCCCUGACUCAAACACCUCCUGGAAAAUGAAUAAUUGAACAUACAUGUGACUAUGUAUAGACCCUUCUUCAAACAGAACCUGAAAUGGGGAGAAUAUCUUCCAACUUCAUAGACUUUUUCUCCUGCUAACUGCACAGGACUGGCCAUAAAAUCCAUAGGGACAUGGCUGUACAGCGAGGAGCAGCCUUUUCAGCCCACACUUUUCAGUCUGAGAAGCGGCCUUCAACUCUCAAUUCUUUAAGCUAAGCAGUGUGGUGAAUUCCUGCCUUCAAACUGAGCUGGAGUAGAAGGAGAAAACAAAUUAAUUCAGAUUAGAUUUUUUGAAAAUAUUAUUUGCCAAGCCACACUGCUCCCUGCUAAAAUCAAGUGAUGUUACUAUUGGCACAGUGGGUUUAAACUCACUACUGGGUUUUGCAUGUUUUAGUAAAGGAUGAAACUGAUUGAAUGAGAUUGUCUAUUAGUUGCAAUAGAUCAGCAGUUUCUUCUUUGUAGUGAUGCAACUGAUUGUUUGCUGAAUAAUACAGUGAGAAUAGACUCAGCAUGCAAGCCCUGUAAACUGUCUGAAGAAAAAGCAAUGUCCUUUUUUUCCCCCAAUUGCUUCCAAGCCAGUAGCUGCUUCUAAUAUUCCUGUAUCCAGUGCAAGCCCAGUGCUGUUCAAAACACACAUCUACUAUUUGUCAAGAGCUGUAAUUGUUAGGAGAAAAGGAUGUUGAGGAAAGCAGAGUGGAAACAGUAUAGGAGGGCUGGUUGUGGAACUCCUUGGGCUGAAUUUUGGGGCAGCUUGGUUCAAUUCCUGGCUCUGCUACAUCCUUGUCCUGUGACCUUGGAAAUGUCUCUCAGUCUGCUCAGUCUCAGCUCCACACAGGUGUGAAAAGAGGUAAAAAGAGGCAUCAUUUUAUGCAGUACAUACCGAAUGAAUGUCUACACUAAGUAUUAAAUCCUUUCCUGUAUUAAGUGGUAAAGUGAGAACCAAUUCUGCAGACUUGUGUGAUGCCCAGGACACGGGGUCCUGAUUUCACAGUGCAGCAAUGGCAGUGCAAACCCCAGAAUAAUUCUGUCCUUCCAAUUCUUGACAAUGUUCAUUAUCUGCAGGCUGAGUUUCAGUGGAUGCCUUUUUUUAGCCUGUACAUUAGUGGGCGAGGGAAUGAAAGGGGAGGAUCUCCCACACCAAGCAGUUUUUUUUCAGUGUAAAUACAUGUCGCAUAACAUUACGGACAAAUAAAGGG